rnacentral:rRNA from 1 species
GAUGAACGCUGGCGGCGUGCCUAAUACAUGCAAGUCGAGCGAACGGACGAGAAGCUUGCUUUUCUGAUGUUAGCGGCGGACGGGUGAGUAACACGUGGAUAACCUACCUAUAAGACUGGGAUAACUUCGGGAAACCGGAGCUAAUACCGGAUAAUAUUUUGAACCGCAUGGUUCAAAAGUGAAAGACGGUCUUGCUGUCACUUAUAGAUGGAUCCGCGCUGCAUUAGCUAGUUGGUAGGUAACGGCUUACCAAGGCAACGAUGCAUAGCCGACCUGAGAGGGUGAUCGGCCACACUGGAACUGAGACACGGUCCAGACUCCUACGGGAGGCAGCAGUAGGGAAUCUUCCGCAAUGGGCGAAAGCCUGACGGAGCAACGCCGCGUGAGUGAUGAAGGUCUUCGGAUCGUAAAACUCUGUUAUUAGGGAAGAACAUAUGUGUAAGUAACUGUGCACAUCUUGACGGUACCUAAUCAGAAAGCCACGGCUAACUACGUG